rnacentral:misc_RNA from 1 species
GAUGAAGAACGUAGCGAAAUGCGAUAAGUAAUGUGAAUUGCAGAAUUCAGUGAAUCAUCGAAUCUUUGAACGCACCUUGCACCCUUUGGCAUUCCGAAGGGUAUGCUCGUUUGAGUGUCAUUGUACUCUCACUCUCCCGAUACUUUUGGAUCGGGAGUGGUGGACUUGGGUGCUGCUACUUAACUGUGGCUCGCCUUAAAUGAAGUAGUGCAACUCUCGGUUGGACAUAGUACGGCGUGAUAAGUGUCUUCGCCGGCGCCUCAUUCGAGGGUGGCCGAUCGGGAGCUCUGUGCUUCAAACUGUCUUCGGACAACAUCUGACAACUUGACCUCAAAUCGAGUAGGACUACCCGCUGAACUUAAGCAUAUCAAUAAGCGGAGGA